GGAAGGAUCAUUUAUAAACGAAUGGAGCGAAUAUACGAGCGUAGCGAGUAUAUUAGCGGAGUGAGUGGAGCAAUCUUCUCGCGAAGCGAGUAUAUGAGGACGAGCGUAUAUGCAGUCUGCGCACUUUGUGCAUGGGCGAGGAGUGACUUAUGGUGAUCUGAUAUCUGAGGAUGUCAGAGUACAAUUAAUGCAAAAAACACAUAUAAACAAAACCCCAGCAACGGAUCUCUAGGUUCCUGCAGCGAAGAAGAACGCAGCAAAGGGCGAAACGUGGUGUGACGCGCGCUGUGGAGCACUGAGUAUUUGAACGCAGAGGUGCCCUGUCGAGCAGGGCGGGUAUGUGUGUGUUAGCCUAUAAAGUUACACGCGCAUAUCAGACGACCCGCCGAACUUAAGCAUAUCAGUAAGCGGAGGAGAAGAAACCAACAGGGAUUCCCAUAGUAGCGGCGAGCGAAGCGGGAGGAGCCCAGCGGAGGAGGCGUUUUUCGCGAUGCCCGCUAGGGGUAACUAUGUACCUUGAUAUGAGCAAUGUGUUGGAAAGCGCAACCAUAGAGGGUGAGAGUCCCGUGUUCAUUUAGGAUAGUAAUUACCUGAGAGUAGUUCUGCUUGGGAAAGCAGUGCGAAGGGUGGUAAACACCAUCGAAGGCUAAAUACGGGCAGGAGACCGAUAGCGCAGAAGUACCGUGAGGGAAGGAUGAAAAGCACUUUGAAAAGAGAGUGAAUAGGGCGUGAAAUUGCUGGGGGGGAAGCCUAGUGUGUUGUCUUAGGAUGGCAGGCUAGGGCCCGUCUUGAAACACGGACCAAGGAGCGCGGGAGGUGUGUGAGUUCGCGGGAUUGAUUCCUGUGGGCGUGCGCGGGCGUAUAUUGUAGGUUAUCUGUUCUUUGAGCAGGGGUCCACCAAUUAACAACACACACCCCGCAGCCCGAAAGACGGUGAACUAUGCCUGCGCAGGGUGAAGCCAGCGGAAACACUGGUGGAGGCUCGCAGCGGUCCUGACGUGCAAAUCGGUCGUCGGACGUGGGCAUAGGGGCGAAAGACCAAUCGAACCGUCUAGUAGCUGGUUCCCCC
rnacentral:misc_RNA from 1 species